UACGGAAGGCAGCAGUGGGGAAUAUUGCACAAUGGGCGAAAGCCUGAUGCAGCUAUGCCGCGUGUAUGAAGAAGGCCUUAGGGUUGUAAAGUACUUUCAUCGGGGAGGAAAAAACAAAACUAAUAAUUUUAUUUCUUGACGUUACCCGAAAAAGAAGCACCGGCUAACUCCGUGCCAGCAGCCGCGGUAAUACGGAGGGUGCUAGCGUUAAUCAGAAUUACUGGGCGUAAAGAGCACGUAGGUGGUUUUUUUAAAGUCAGAUGUGAAAUCCCUGGGCUUAACCUAGGAACUGCAUUUUGAAACUGAAAUACUAGAGUAUCGUAGAGGGAGGUAGAAUUCUAGGUGUAGCGGUGAAAUGCGUAGAUAUCUGGAGGAAUACCUGUGGCGAAAGCGGCCUCCUAAACGAAUACUGACACUGAGGUGC
rnacentral:rRNA from 1 species